rnacentral:rRNA from 1 species
CAUGCGAGUCGAAUGUAGCAAUACAUGGCGAACUGCUCAGUAACACGUGGACAACCUGCCCUUAGGUUGGGUAUAAACCCGGGAAACUGGGUAUAAUACCCGAUAGGUCUCGAUUGCUGGAAUGCAUCGAGAUUUAAAGCUCCGGCGCCUAAGGAUGGGUCUGCGGCCUAUCAGGUAGUAGUGGGUGUAGCGUACCUACUAGCCUACGACGGGUACGGGUUGUGAGAGCAAGAGCCCGGAGAUGGAUUCUGAGACACGAAUCCAGGCCCUACGGGGUGCAGCAGGCGCGAAAACUUUACAAUGCUGGCAACAGCGAUAGGGGAACCUCGAGUGCCAGGUUACAAAUCUGGCUGUCGAGAUGCCUAAAAAGCAUUUCAUAGCAAGGGCCGGGCAAGACCGGUGCCAGCCGCCGCGGUAACACCGGCGGCUCGAGUGGUAACCGUUAUUAUUGGGUCUAAAGGGUCUGUAGCCGGCCGGAUAAGUCUCUUGAGAAAUCUGGCAGCUUAACUGUCAGGCUUUCAGGAGAUACUGCUUGUCUUGAGACCGGGAGAGGUUGGAGGUACUCCUAGGGUAGGGGUGAAAUCCUGUAAUCCUAGGGGGACCACCUGUGGCGAAGGCGUCCAACUGGAACGGGUCUGACGGUGAGGGACGAAACCUAGGGGAGCGAGCCGGAUUAGAUACCCGGGUAGUCCUAGGCGUAAAUGAUGCGAGUUAAGUGUGGGGGCAUCUACGAGAUGGCCCUGUGCUGUAGGGUAGCCGUUAAACUCGCCGCCUGGGGAGUACGGUCGCAAGGCUGAAACUUAAAGGAAUUGGCGGGGGAGCACCACAAGAGGUGGAGGCUGCGGUUCAAU